GUUGGUGUGGCCGAGCGGUUAGGCAAGUGAUUGCAAAUCACUUUUACGCGGGUUCAAGUCCUGUCGCCAACUCCA
rnacentral:tRNA from 1 species